UGUUUAGGAAAAUGUACCCAAAUUUUUGGUUUAAAAUAAAAAAUUAAUAGAUAAUAAUAAUGAAUACACAAAAUAAUAAAUUAUUUUUCGAUUAUAAGGAAAAAGAUUGCAAUUACUGUCCAACCAAACCAAUAUUAGAUCAAUUCAAAAAUUAUACAGGAUCACCAGAAGAUUGUGAACGUCUAAAAAAUUAUAUUGCUACGGAGAUUGGCCACACAAAACCAACAUACACAUCUAAUGUAAGAGCACCAAAGCAGCCACCGACAGUUUAUCCGAGGCAACAACAUCCAUUUAAUGCUAACCAACCACAGCAAGAUAAUCUAAGGCAGCAACAACUAAAUAAGCAAAAGCCAUAUUCAACUCACUAUAAUCCAACACCAAGGAUUGAUUUGAAGAGUGUUCCAUUCAAAUUUGAUUUAAACAAAUAUAAUCAAACAAAUGAUCCAAAAAGUGUUUCGAGAAGCAGCGUUCCUAUAGGAUGCUGUAACAAUACUGAGUAUAUUUGUUUUAAAACAUCAUCGCCAUCAUCACCGCCUAUUUUAAUUCAAGGUCCUCCUUGUCAGACAAAUAAUAAUAGUGUUACAUGCUGCAUUCAAAACUCAUACAAUCAAGUUUUGAGUUCAAAUCAAGUAGAAAAACCACAACGACAGCUAGUAAACCAAAGACAGCUCACUCAAGUAAAUAAGGCCGUUAAAUGUCUACCUAAUAGACGCAAAAGACCGGAGCCAUGUAAUAGAGAAAAUUGUGUGCAUAAAACACCAGAAAGUAUAUGUUUGUAUGGUCAACCAUGUAAGGCUCAUUGUUUUAAUACCCCACCUGCAGGAAGGCGGAAUGCUUAAAUGAUUCUAAUUAAUAACUUUGUUCAUGGAUUGGUAGAUAAAGUUAAAAAUCGACUUAUAGUGGAAUAAAAAAAAGUAACUUGCAUAGUUAUGUAUCACGUUAGUAUUCAAAAUACAGGAACAAGUGUGUGAAUUUGAAGAUUAAAGAUUUUCUAUUAAUCGGCAAUCGAAGAUAUCAAUGAAUAUUAAAUUUUUUCUCUUUCGUAAAUUUUGAUAUCACUGGGUGAUUGGAAGCGGGAAAUAUUUUUCUUUGUAUGAAAUGGUUACUAUCCGUAUCAUAUGUAUGGUUAGUCAUUUGAAUUAUGAGUAACUAAACUACAUACAACCAAAUUAUGUUGAUAGACAACAAUUUUGGACUGUGCGAGACACAUAAACAUUUGACCUUACCGUAACAUCGUAACACUAAAAAUUGAUUAAUAUUUAUAAAUUAACUUACGCUGGAUUCACAAAACUCUAAAAUAAAUGAUGCAAAAGAAGUCAAAAAUGGCUUUAGAGAUUAAAUAUAUUAUACCUAAAUAAAUAAUAGAAAUAUUACCCUUCUAAAGUGCAACCGUGC